rnacentral:rRNA from 1 species
AACGAACGCUGGCGGCAUGCCUAACACAUGCAAGUCGAACGGGACCUUCGGGUCUAGUGGCGCACGGGUGCGUAACGCGUGGGAACCUGCCCUUAGGUUCGGAAUAACUCCCCGAAAGGGGUGCUAAUACCGGAUAAUGUCUUCGGACCAAAGAUUUAUCGCCUUUGGAUGGGCCCGCGUUGGAUUAGCUAGUUGGUAGGGUAAAAGCCUACCAAGGCGACGAUCCAUAGCUGGUCUGAGAGGAUGAUCAGCCACACUGGGACUGAGACACGGCCCAGACUCCUACGGAAGGCAGCAGUGGGGAAUAUGGGACAAUGGGCGAAAGCCUGAUCCAGCAAUGCCGCGUGAGUGAUGAAGGCCUUAGGGUUGUAAAGCUCUUUUACCCGGGAUGAUAAUGACAGUACCGGGAGAAUAAGCUCCGGCUAACUCCGU